UACGGAGGAUCCAAGCGUUAUCCGGAUUUAUUGGGUUUAAAGGGUGCGUAGGCGGCCUAUUAAGUCAGAGGUGAAAGACGGUAGCUCAACUAUCGCAGUGCCUUUGAUACUGAUGGGCUUGAAUGAACUAGAGGUAGGCGGAAUGAGACAAGUAGCGGUGAAAUGCAUAGAUAUGUCUCAGAACACCGAUUGCGAAGGCAGCUUACUAUGGUUUUUAUUGACGCUGAGGCACGAAAAGCGUGGGGGAUCAAAACAGG
rnacentral:rRNA from 1 species